GGGCCCGUGGCGUAGAGGCAGCGCGCCCACAAAAUGGCGUAGGGCUGAUAAGCCCCAUGACCCCGGAGACUGAUUUCCCCUCCAGCGGGAGGUCGCCGGUUCGAAUCCGGCCGGGCCCA
rnacentral:tRNA from 1 species